rnacentral:rRNA from 1 species
AGAGUUUGAUCAUGGCUCAGGAUUAACGCUAGCGGCAGGCCUAAUACAUGCAAGUCGAACGGUAACACGGGUAGCAAUACCUGGUGACGAGUGGCGCACGGGUGCGUAACGCGUAUGUAAUCUACCUCUAACUGGGGAAUAGCCUUCCGAAAGGAAGAUUAAUACCGCAUAAUAUAAAGGAGAGACAUCUCCCCUUUAUCAAAACUCAGGUGGUUAGAGAUGAACAUGCGUGACAUUAGCUAGUUGGUAAGGUAACGGCUUACCAAGGCUACGAUGUCUAGGGGGUCUGAGAGGAUGAUCCCCCACACUGGUACUGAGACACGGACCGGACUCCUACGGGAGGCAGCAGUAAGGAAUAUUGGACAAUGGGGGCAACCCUGAUCCAGCCAUGCCGCGUGAAGGAUUAAGGCCCUAUGGGUCGUAAACUUCUUUUAUAAGGGAAAAAACCCCUUUACGUGUAGAGGGUUGAUGGUACUUUAUGAAUAAGGGUCGGCUAACUUCGUGCCAGCAGCCGCGGUAAUACGAAGGACCCGAGCGUUAUCCGGAUUUACUGGGUUUAAAGGGUGCGUAGGUGGACCUGUAAGUCAGUGGUGAAAGCCCGAAGCUCAACUUCGGAACUGCCAUUGAUACUGCUGGUCUUGAGUAUAGUUGAGGUAGGCGGAAUAUGUCAUGUAGUGGUGAAAUACUUAGAUAUGACAUAGAACACCGAUUGCGAAGGCAGCUUGCUAAGCUAUAACUGACACUGAUGCACGAAAGCGUGGGGAGCAAACAGGAUUAGAUACCCUAGUAGUCC